rnacentral:rRNA from 1 species
AUGAACGCUAGCGGCAGGCCUAAUACAUGCAAGUCGAACGGUAGAUCGGGUAGCAAUACUUGAUUGAGAGUGACGUAAGGGUGCGUAACACGUAUGCAAUCUACCCUCAACAGGAGUAUAGCUCGGGGAAACUCGGAUUAACACUCCAUAACAUUACGAUGUGGCAUCACAUUGUGNUUAAAAACUCCGGUGGUUGAGGAUGAGCAUGCGUCUGAUUAGUUAGUUGGAGGUGUAACGGACCCCCAAGACGAUGAUCAGUAGGGGAACUGAGAGGUUGAUCCCCCACACUGGCACUGAGAUACGGGCCAGACUCCUACGGGAGGCAGCAGUAGGGAAUAUUGGUCAAUGGGUGAGAGCCUGAACCAGCCAUGCCGCGUGCAGGAAGACGGCCUUCUGGGUUGUAAACUGCUUUUAUCUGGGGAUAAAAAGCCCAUGCGUGGGACAUUGAAGGUACCAGAUGAAUAAGCACCGGCUAACUACGUG